UACGAAGGAUGCAAGCGUUAUCCGGAAUUAUUGGGUUUAAAGGGUGCGUAGGCGGACCUAUAAGUCAGUGGUGAAAGCCCCAAGCUCAACUUGGGAACUGCCAUUGAUACUGUUGGUCUUGAGUACAGUUGAGGUAGGCGGAAUGUGUCAUGUAGGCGGUGAAAUGCUUAGAUAUGACACAGAACACCGAUUGCGAAGGCAGCUUGCUAAGCUGUAACUGAC
rnacentral:rRNA from 1 species